rnacentral:misc_RNA from 1 species
UAUAUGAGGUGAGGAAAAAUAGUAUUUUCUAAAAAAUAAUCUAGUCAGUCCGCCCAAUAACAACAUACGAGUCACCUUGAUAGCAAGCUACAGUCACGCUGGUCCAAAUUCCUUGGGUCGCUCACAUUUCCUUGAUGACGGCUUGUAACUAAGGUGGCUAAACUCGAUGGUUCUGGCCGGAACGGAAUUAUAUAGAGAUUGAAGUCACAUUAACAAUCUUAUUUAACAUUAAUUCAAAAAUACAAAUUAGCGCUCAAAAUUCAAACUA